rnacentral:siRNA from 3 species
AGGUAUUCUUGAGACAAAGCC